rnacentral:rRNA from 1 species
UAGUCCACGCCGUAAACGAUGGAUACUAGCUGUUCGGCUUCGGCUGAGUGGCUAAGCGAAAGUGAUAAGUAUCCCACCUGGGGAGUACGUUCGCAAGAAUGAAACUCAAAGGAAUUGACGGGGGCCCGCACAAGCGGUGGAGCAUGUGGUUUAAUUCGAUGAUACGCGAGGAACCUUACCAGGGCUUAAAUGUAGAAUGACAGGUUUAGAGAUAGACUUUUCUUCGGACAUUCUACAAGGUGCUGCAUGGUUGUCGUCAGCUCGUGCCGUGAGGUGUCAGGUUAAGUCCUAUAACGAGCGCAACCCCUGUUGUUAGUUGCCAGCAUGUAAAGAUGGGAACUCUAACAAGACUGCCGGUGCAAACCGUGAGGAAGGUGGGGAUGACGUCAAAUCAUCACGGGCCCUUACGUCCUGGGGCUACACACGUGCUACAAUGGUAGGGGACAGAGAGCAGCCACGUCGCGAGGCGGAGCGAAUCUAU